GACUCCAUGAAGCUGGAUUCGCUAGUAAUCGCGCAUCAGCCACGGCGCGGUGAAUACGUUCCCGGGCCUUGUACACACCGCCCGUCAAGCCAUGGGAGCCGGGGGUACCUGAAGUGCGUGACCGCAAGGAGCGCCCUAAGGUAAAACCGGUGACUGGGGCUAAGUCGUAACAAGGUAGC
rnacentral:rRNA from 1 species